UACGUAGGGUGCAAGCGUUGUCCGGAAUUAUUGGGCGUAAAGAGCUCGUAGGCGGUCUGUCGCGUCUGCUGUGAAAACUCGGGGCUUAACCCCGGGCCUGCAGUGGGUACGGGCAGACUAGAGUGCGGUAGGGGAGACUGGAAUUCCUGGUGUAGCGGUGAAAUGCGCAGAUAUCAGGAGGAACACCGGUGGCGAAGGCGGGUCUCUGGGCAACUACUGACGCUGAGGAGCGAAAGCGUGGGGAGCGAACAGG
rnacentral:rRNA from 1 species